AACAGUUGAACCACAAAUUCAAAUGUUCAACGCACUUCAAAUAUUGUCUUACCUUAAGCUUGUACGCAGACAUUGUAAAGCCACAAAAUCAAAUAUCCACAAAAAAUGCAAAUUAUCUUCAAUCUGCGAAAAUUGGUACCAAUGAAAAUAAAUGAAACCACAGUUUUGUUCCCCUGAGAGCUCUCAUAAAAAGUAAACAACAAAUUAUAAAUAGAUAAAAAAAUAUAAUUUCGAAGCUGUACUUUACUAGGUCUGCAGUAAUGUUGAGUAAUAUACUGAAGCUAGAUGAAGAAUACUGUUCCCAUUUUAGCGUGUGAUGUACAUUUUUUUCAAUUUAUGCUGUUGAUUUGCUGCGGUUUUAUCAUGCUGACC
rnacentral:lncRNA from 1 species